AGUGAACGCUGGCGGUAGGCCUAACACAUGCAAGUCGAACGGCAGCACAGGAGAGCUUGCUCUCUGGGUGGCGAGUGGCGGACGGGUGGGGAAUACAUCGGAAUCUACUCUGUCGUGGGGGAUAACGUAGGGAAACUUACGCUAAUACCGCAUAGGACCUACGGGUGAAAGCAGGGGACCUUCGGCCCUUGCGCGAUUGAAUGAGCCGAUGUCGGAUGAGCUAGUUGGCGGGGUAAAGGCCCACCAAGGCGACGAUCCGUAGCUGGUCUGAGAGGAUGAUCAGCCACACUGGAACUGAGACACGGUCCAGACUCCUACGGGAGGCAGCAGUGGGGAAUAUUGGACAAUGGGCGCAAGCCUGAUCCAGCCAUACCGCGUGGGUGAAGAAGGCCUUCGGGUUGUAAAGCCCUUUUGUUGGGAAAGAAAUCCAGCUGGCUAAUACCCGGUUGGGAUGACGGUACCCAAAGAAUAAGCACCGGCUAACUUCGUGCCAGCCGCCGCCGUAA
rnacentral:rRNA from 1 species